rnacentral:lncRNA from 1 species
GUGUCGCCAUCGUAGCUGCUGCUGGUGGUUUAUAAGGAUGUUUGUGUGUCAUAUAGAAAUCCACGACCUUGAUUCAAAGACAUGAAGAGCUAGAGGAACAUUUGGCCACCAUUAACGGCCUCAAACAGGAUCAGAGGAAACUUCGCCAGCUGCUGAGCAUCGCACAAGAGCAGCAGAUAUUAGCUGCGCUGAAUUUCCAUGGGAGGUCUGAGACAUUAAGUGAAGAGAGACAGUCGCCCAGCACUUCACAAAUGCGUGAGAAGGAGGAGGAGCACAAAGACGAGGGGCCUCCGCAGACUGGCAGCUGGUGGCGUCGCUGUGCCCGGAACCUGUGGAGAGGAGUUCACCUAGCAGCAAACAUCAGCCUCGGUGUCAUUCUUUCUGUGGGUAUCUUGGCCGCCGUCACGCCCGUCUGCUACACUCCAGAUAUUGACUGCAACUUUAAUUCUCUUCCACAUUUGAUUUUGGCUGCUUUUGACCUGCUGUAAAGUUCAUCACAACAAGAACUCCAUUACAUAGAGAACUUCACCCUGACAUGAUGACACUGACAUGACCUUAGACGACUAGUGACCACUCUGCACCUGUCCGCCCAGGAAGGGGGCUCCCUCAUUUGUGGUCCUUCCCAAGGUUUCUUCCUUUUUAAAUUUCCUGUUAAAGGGAUUUAUUGGGAGUUUUUCCUUGCCCUCUUGAGGGGGGUGCUACUACUAAAUUUGACAUACAACUUCAUUUGACUUGAAUUUGGCCUGAUAAUUAACACAUAGCGACUCCACACAUUUAAUCACUGUCCCUUUUGUGAGUGUCUGCAUAUUCACCUGAAUGUUUCAAACUGUUCAAACAUAAAGAUGAUGUUAUUUCC